AUUGAACGCUGGCGGCAUGCUUUACACAUGCAAGUCGAACGGUAACAGGGUGCUUGCACCGCUGACGAGUGGCGAACGGGUGAGUAAUGCGUCGGAACGUGGCGAGUAGUGGGGGAGAACGCAGCGAAAGUUGUGCUAAUACCGCAUACGUACUGAGGUAGAAAGUGGGGACCUGCGGUCCUCACGCUAUACGAGCGGCCGACGUCUGAUUAGCUAGUAGGUGAGGUAAAGGCUCACCUAGGCGACGAUCAGUAGCGGGUCUGAGAGGAUGAUCCGCCACACUGGGACUGAGACACGGCCCAGACUCCUACGGGAGGCAGCAGUGGGGAAUUUUGGACAAUGGGCGAAAGCCUGAUCCAGCCAUGCCGCGUGUCUGAAGAAGGCCUUCGGGUUGUAAAGGACUUUUGUCAGGGAGGAAAUCCCUAGUGCUAAUAACACUGGGGGAUGACAGUACCUGAAGAAUAAGCACCGGCUAACUACGUGCCAGCAGCCGCAGUAA
rnacentral:rRNA from 1 species